rnacentral:rRNA from 1 species
GAUGAACGCUGGCGGCGUGCCUAAUACAUGCAAGUCGAGCGAACAGACGAGGAGCUUGCUCCUCUGACGUUAGCGGCGGACGGGUGAGUAACACGUGGAUAACCUACCUAUAAGACUGGGAUAACUUCGGGAAACCGGAGCUAAUACCGGAUAAUAUAUUGAACCGCAUGGUUCAAUAGUGAAAGACGGUUUUGCUGUCACUUAUAGAUGGAUCCGCGCCGCAUUAGCUAGUUGGUAAGGUAACGGCUUACCAAGGCAACGAUGCGUAGCCGACCUGAGAGGGUGAUCGGCCACACGGGAACUGAGACACGGUCCAGACUCCGACGGGAGGCAGCAGUAGGGAAUCUUCCGCAAUGGGCGGAAGCCUGACGGAGCAACGCCGCGUGAGUGAUGAAGGUCUUCGGAUCGUAAAACUCGGUUAUUAGGGAAGAGCAAAUGUGUAAGGAACGAUGCACGUCUUGACGGUACCUGAUCAGAAAGCCACGGCUAACUACGUG